UUGGAGGGCAAGUCUGGUGCCAGCAGCCGCGGUAAUUCCAGCUCCAAUAGCGUAUAUUAAAGUUGUUGCAGUUAAAAAGCUCGUAGUUGAAUUUCGGGAUCAGUACGCCGGUCGUGCCUUCGGUAUGUACUGGUGUCACUGAUUCCUCCCUUCUGACGAACCGUUAUGCCAUUUAUUUGGUGUGGCGGGGAAUCAGGACUGUUACUUUGAAAAAAUUAGAGUGUUUAAAGCAGGCUCGCGCUUGAAUACAUUAGCAUGGUAUAAUGAAAUAGGACGUUUGAUUCUAUUUUGUUGGUUUCUAGGAUCGACGUAAUGAUCAAUAGGGAUAGUUGGGGGCAUUAGUAUUCAAUUGUCAGAGGUGAAAUUCUUGGAUUUAUUGAAGACUAACUACUGCGAAAGCAUUUGCCAAGGAUGUUUUCAUUAAUCAAGAACUAAAGUUAGGGGAUCGAAGACGAUCAGAUACCGUCGUAGUCUUAACCAUAAACUAUGCCGACUAGGGAUCGGAUGAUGUUAAUUUUUUAAUGACUCAUUCGGCGCCUUACGGGAAAC
rnacentral:rRNA from 1 species